rnacentral:rRNA from 1 species
AGCAGGCCACGCCAAAUUACCCACUCCCGGCACGGGGAGGUAGUGACAAUAAAUAACGAUACGGGACUCAUAUGAGGCCCCGUAAUCGGAAUGAGUACACUUUAAAUCCUUUAACAAGGAUCCAUUGGAGGGCAAGUCUGGUGCCAGCAGCCGCGGUAAUUCCAGCUCCAAUAGCGUAUAUUAAAGUUGUUGCGGUUAAAAAGCUCGUAGUUGGUUCUGCGUGCUACGCUGUCGGUUCGCCGCCUGCCGGUGUAACUGGCAUGCCGUGGCAUGUCCUGUCGGUGGCGUUCGGGAGCCUUGUCUAGGUGAGACCUCCGAACUGAAAGGAACGGGUGGUUAUUCAACCGGAGGCCUCCCCGUUCGCCUACUCUAUCCUACCUAGGUGCUCUUCACCGAGUGUCGAGGUAGGCCGACACGUUUACUUUGAACAAAUUAGAGUGCUCAAAGCAGGCUGAAAUUUCUGCCUGAAUAGUGGUGCAUGGAAUAAUAAAACAGGACCUCGGUUCUAUUUUGUUGGUUCUUAGGAACACGAGGUAAUGAUCAAUACGGACAGGCGGGGGCAUUCGUAUUGCGACGUUAGACUUGGCAAAUGCUUUCGCGGUGAAAUUCUUGGAUCGUCGCAAGACGCACAAGAGCGAAAGCAUUUGCCAAGUAUGUCUUGAUUGAUCAAGAACGAAAGUUAGAGGUUCGAAGGCGAUCAGAUACCGCCCUAGUUCUAACCAUAAACGAUGCCAGCCAGCGAUCCGCCGAUGUUCCUCCGAUGACUCGGCGGGGAGCUUUUUCCCGGGAAACCAAAGCUUUUGGGUUCCCGGGGGAAGUAUGGUUGCAAAGCUGAAACUUAAAGGAAUUGACGGAAGGGCACCACCAGGAGUGGAGCCUGCGGCUUAAUUUGACUCAACACGGGAAACCUCACCAGGCCAGGACAUUGGAAGGAUUGACAGAUUGAUAGCUCUUUCUUGAUUCAGUGGGUAGUGGUGCAUGGCCGUUCUUAGUUGGUGGAUCGAUUUGUCUGGUUAAUUCCGAUAACGAACGAGACUCUAGCUUAUUAACUAGGCGUCUUCCGGUGCCCUCGUCACCGGCGACACUCAUUCUUCUUAAGGGGACAAGCGGCUUUUAGCCGCACGAGAUUGAGCAAUAACAGGUCUGUGAUGCCCUUAGAUGUCCUGGGCCGCACGCGCGCUACACUGAAAGAAUCAGCGUGUGCCUCCCUGGCCGAAAGGCCCGGGUAAUCCGCUGAACCUCUUGCGUGCUAGGAAUUGGGGCUUGCAAUUGUUCCCCAUGAACGAGGAAUUCCCAGUAAGCGCGAGUCAUAAGCUCGCGUUGAUUACGUCCCUGCCCUUUGUACACACCGCCCGUCGCUACUACCGAUUGAAUGAUUUAGUGAGGUCUUCGGACUGGCGGUAAUCCCUACCGACUUGUCGAUAUCGAUGAACGCUGGAAAGAUGACCAAACUUGAUCAUUUAGAGGAAGUAAAAGUCGU